AAGCAAGUCAGUAAGCAGUGUCUUCCCCCAUGAUCUCUGCAUCAGCCCUUGCCUCCUGGUUCCAGCUCUGUUGGAGUUCCUGUCCUGACUUCCUUCGGUGGUGAACAUCAACAUGGAAGUAAGCAAAUGUCUGGGACAGCCCUACUGAACAGUGCCCUCUAGUGAGCCUUUGGGUCCCCACCUGGCAUCUGUGGAGGGAAUGACUGGAUGACCACAGAGAGAAGAUAGAGCCCAUGCUCCUCCUCAGAGGACUGCCAAGCUCCUACUGUGUGCAGAUGCUCAAGAAUACUAGGAUGAGAAGAGGAAUAAUUCCAGGUCCCUGGAUAUCAAAUUUUCUAGAUUCAGUAACUUGCAUUGGUGGAGUCACUGGAGUAUUAGAAACAUGGUGAGAGCUACAUUGCUUUAGUGGGAGCUCUCACAUUCGACAACAGUUGAAGAUGGGUUUCAAGAAUGCGGGGGGAGGAGGGGCUCCUUGUGUUUUUUAUACUCCUGCACUGUAUUUGAAAACUCCCUGUGUGGGGAGGGAAGGAGGCUCAGUGGAUAAAAGUGUUGGCUGUGCAUGCCUGAUGACCUGAGUUCAAUAUUCAGAACUCACAUUAAAAAUUGGGGGCAUCAGCCAAGCGGGAGGUGGUGGCGGUGCACGCCUUUGAUCCCAGAACUUGGAAGGCAGAGGCAGGCGGAUCUCUGUGAGGUCGAGGCCAGCCUGGUUUACAGAGCUAGUUCCAGGAUAGCCAGGGCUACACAGAGAAACCCUGCUCCCCCAAACAAACAAACCAACAAACAUAUCAGGAAACCCUGCUCCCCCAAACAAAUAAACAAACCAACAAACAUAUCAGGAUACUGUGGUGCACAUCUGUAAUCCACUCCUACAGCAAGGUGAGAGAGACAGGAGAGCCAUCUGGAAGCUUGCAGGCUGGAUGGCCUGUGAGAGUCAGCAAAGCAGCAUAAACAAGAGACCCUGUUUCAAUACCAUGGAAGGAGAGAAUUGACUCCCAAAGGUAUCUUCUGAGCUCCACACGUGACUGUCGCUGUGCCUGUACUCACACCUACACACCCACGCUCAUACACACCCACACACAUACACGCACACACACAGAUUAGAAAAAUAAACAAAUGAAAGCUUCUAACAAGGCGCAUGCCUUUAAUCCCAGCAUUCAGGAGGCAGAAUCAGACAGAUCACUGUGAGUUUGAGGCCAGCCUGGUCAACAUAGCGAGCUCCAGGACAGCCAAGACUACAUGGAAAGACCCUAUCUCAAACAAACAAAACAAAAAAGUUUAUACACAUGCAUAUGUACAUAUCAGGGGUGGGGGUGGGUGGGCAGAAAUACACCUUACUCUAUUUUAAUCAUAUACCUUUUUUCUGGAUUUAAUAUAUAUUUUAUGUAAUGCCUUAUUUUUUUUAAUUAAAGAAGACAAUAAAACAAUUUAAAAUGUU